CAUAAAAGAUUUACUAUUUUCUAUCUAAUUCUGUUUAUAUUUCGUAUUCAUUCAUAAAUAGAAACACUGAAUGGAUAAUAAUGAGUUUUAUGUCGCUAUUUAUUAUUUACUUUAAUGCGAAGGGUACGGAGCAAUAUGCUUCUAUUAUAUUAUUAAUGGCGCAAAUAAAAUUCAAAUCUUUCGAUCAAUUAAAAAUGAAAGAUAAAGGAGUUAAAUAAUUAUAUAUUGUCAAAUGAACUUUCGGUUUUUAUUUGCGUAGAACAGAUAGUAGAUAAUGGGCAUAAAAAAAGAUAUAAAUGUCAAAAAAUCAAAGUAUCUCGAGUGAGAGGCAUCUUCCCCUUGUAUCGUUUCCCUCCAAUAGGAAUCGUUUGUGCAGACCCGUAGUUUACAAAGAAAUGAAUUUUGUCAAUAAGUUUCAUUAUAAUGUUGUAAACAUCAUUGCCCUUGGAAAACUCUAAACGUACCGUUUUCUUUGUUAUCGUGGUCGUUCAGGCAAAAUAUGUUUAUUAUAUGCAACAAGAUUGGCACUAUAUAAAAAAAAAUUAAGUUUUUCUAUAUUCAAUGUGUCACGAUGAAACAUUCGAUUUCACGCGAUCAUAAAUUUAUGAGUUGCGGGAGUGUUGAAUUACUCGUUUAUUGAUCGCUGUCAGUGACAAUAAUUUAAGAACUUGUGAGUGUUUCGUUGCCAAAUGUUAUCGUACUAUCCCAAACAUUAUGUACCUUUCUAUAUUAGAGUACGCUAUUGUGAUUUGUCGAGGAACCGAUAACCUAACAACUAUAUCGAAUGUUAGAAAAAUUUCGCAUAACAUUUCACACAUGAAAUUGUAACAACGUUUAAUGUUUGGCAGCUUAUUUCGAAUUUCGCGUCUGUGUUACAAAACAAAGUGUACACGUAUGUGACGCAAUGUUGUAAUUCAAAUAUUUACGGAAUUAUUACACGACGAGAGGAAUUAAUCGUACUUUAUAGGAGAUUGCAAAAUUGUAUAUUUUUAUAUAGUGAAAAUGGCCCAUGCCUCGUUGCCGAAGCUUAUUUGCACGCCGAUAAAUACAUCAAGAAUGUGUCCAUCAGAUUUCACUACUACUCUAUCUGAUGUGUUACAAUCGGAUCCAGUAAAAAGGUUACUCAAUCAACCAAAUAUUAUUGUUAAAAGGAUACCUUUAAAAAUAAAUGCAACAUCUCUCUCCAACGAUAAUGUUUUAACAAACAAAAUACAUGAUGUAGAUUCAAAUGUAAAUAGAACAAAACAGUCAGAGUUGUCAGUAAUACCUUUACAGACGAAUCAAGAGGAAAAUAUAGAAGAUAAAAAUUUCUUACCUUCCAAGAAGCAUGGUAAAUCAGAAAUUACAAUAGUUCCUGUUACAAGAGAAAGAAAACCUUGUGGUCAUUAUGAACCUUGUGAAAAUAUUAUAUGCGAUGUGAUAGUACAACAAUAUGCAGACCGUGAUGGAUCAUCACCUAUGUUAGCCAUUAAUAUAGAAGAAAGUGAAAUAGAUGCACCUGUUUUAAAACAUUGUGAAAAUAAAAUGUGUGAUGCAUUAAGCAUUGAUCAUGAUCGUUGUCGCAGAGCUAUAAUUAGACUAAAUAGAUGUAAUCAAUCGAUAGCUUGUGAUAUUUGUGGUAUUAUGUUACAAACACAAAGAUCUCGUAUAUAUCACAAGAAUUGUAUAAGAAAAAAUGAAUACAGGCAUAAUGAAAUAAGCAGUGCCAAAAUAUUAAAAGAAAGAAUGAGAGAACGAGAAAUUCAAAUAAUUGAAGCUUCUAAAAUGAAGAGAAAUGAUUAUACAGAUCCUAUUACAGGGUACAGCCUUACAAUGGAAACUUUAAAAAAUAACAAAGAAUUAAUUAUUAUUCCAAAAUCAGUUCCCUUACAGCAACAACAACCACCUUCUUCACAACCACCACCACCACCACCACCACCACCACCACCACCACCACCAUCAACAACAACAACAACAAUAACAGCAACAAUUACUAUAAAUUCUAUGUCCACAAAACAAUCUACUUCGCAAAUAAAUAAUGUAAAUAAUGUUUUUGGAAAACUUUUAUCCAGUAUACCAAUUGUAUUACCACAACAAAGUAUAGUCCUUGGCAAAACACAAUGUUCUAAUGAAAAUAGUAUAUCUAAUCCUAUACAAUUAGCUGUAUCAGAAGCCUUAACUAGGUCAUUCGUAACAACAACUAGUACAGUUCCUUUACCUCAAAAUCAUUAUAUUACAUUUACAACACAAGCUAAUACACAUCCGAUACCAAUAAACGAAUUACUCUUGCCACACUCACAAAUUGUCACAACACCCAUUCAGCCUAAACCAUUGUUAACACCUAUACGUGUUGUACCUAUAACUAACUUAAUAACAGAACCAUCCUUACUGCACCAAACACAGGGUAUACCAAAGUUUUGUAUUAUGCCAGAUGAUACAGCACCAUCAUUAACUAUAACGAAUUCUCAAUCUAUUCAACAUUUAGCACUUGUGCCAAAAGUUGAAUUAUCAACUAAUUCAAAAACAGCAGUACGGAAAAAGAAAAAGAUAGUAAAAAAGAAACGAAAAAAGAAAGUUUUCAAAUGUGACUAUUGUCUUAAAAACUUCAGUACAGAUUGGUAUUUCAAAAUGCAUGUUGCUAUGCAUACAGGUGAAAACCGGUUCACCUGCAAAAUAUGUAAACGAUUAUUUAGUAAUCGAUACGAUAUGAAGAAACAUAUAUCGAAUGAUCACAAGAGUCAAAGCAUUAGUUCUAGUAUAUGUAAUCAGCAAAUUACUGAAGAUUCACAGACAAGCAACCUUGACAUACAGCAAGAAGUAAGAAAAGAAGAUAAAACAAAUGGAUACAUUAUUAUGCCUACUCAAGAUAUUGUCAAAAAUAUCAAAACAGAACUACGUCAUGAAGUAUAAAUCAUUCCAGAUUAGCAACACAUUGAAACAAAGAAACAAUUGUCUAGAUUAAAAAUACGACUGUUAUAAAUUUCGAGAGAAAAUUUUAUGUUACAUUGUACAAAUGUACAUAUGUUUUAUGUAAUUGUAUAUUUUAAUUUCUGAAAAAAUUAUUGCAAUAUUCUUAAAUUCUAUGAGACAAACGGAAAAGAAAAGUUGCUUGAUACAUAUUUGGUUUAUAUGUUAAAAUAUAUUUACUUUAUUUAUGAAACAACUCUAAAUAUUUUAAUGAAUGUUAUAAAAAUGUAUUAUAUGACUGAAAAAUUUAAUAUUUUUUAAAUAAGAACGAUUACAAAAGUUGACAAAGAUUAUAUAUAUAAUAUUAUGAAAUCUUUCAAACUGUGAUAUAUGGCCAUCUUUCCACUAUAACUUCUUUUCAAAUUAUCUAAAAAUGUAUCGUCCUUAAUUACAUAUUUAAUAUAACUUUAAGCACAAUAAUAACUUUAUACACUGAAAUAAAACUAUGAUUGUGCACGUGGACGAAAAUAUGAUAGACAUAUCUUAAAACGCACAAAAGAAUAAUUCAACAGAAAAGAACAAUGUGUAUAUUUUAGAACUAGAAAAUUUGUUAUUAAAUGUAAGAGUAUUUUAUAUGGAAAGAAAGUUAAAUGCCAUUUCUAAUACGUAGAUACAUAUAAGUUAUGUUGUGUUCCUUUUAUUUUCAAAUAAGUUGUUUAGUUGAAAGUAUUCAUUCACAUAGACUAAAAUUAAUAUACUAUGUGUAUUUAUCUAUAUUUUUUUUUAUUAAAUUAUUUUUCACUUUUCCCAUUUCUCAACGUGAACUAUGGUAACUUUUACAGAAAAUUAAAUACGUAAAUAUUUUCUUGCUAUUGAAUAAACUUAGUAUUUAGAAUAGGAUACCAAUAUGAAAGAAUUUAAAAUUUUUAUAUCGUUAUAGAAGCUAAUUUGAGCUUCGUAAUUUAUGUUGAGAUUUUAGUAAAUGUUAACGGAAGAAUAGACGAAAUAUUUUGCAAAGAUAUAGUUCCUUGGUAAUAAAAAUGAAUGUCAUGUGCCUUCAAAAUUUCAAUGUUCCUUAUAUAAAUAAGACAGUUAAUUCAGAAAAGUAAAUGUUGAUUAUAAACAGCAUUAAUUUAAUUAACUUGUUCUGUUAUCUUUAACUGACAAUAAAAAAUACAAUUUCAAUACAAUUGUGUAGUUAAACAGAACACUUUUACUUCAAUAUAAGUGUAAUAAAGAAAAUUAUAUGUGCAUUUAAUAUUAAUAAUACUCAGUGUAUAAAAUUCAAUGUAAUAGUGAAAAUAGAAUGUAAAUGUUUCACAAUUGUGCAAAGAAAUGGUGUUAUUAAUGAAGGAUAUUAAGCAGAUUAUUUUUGAAAUCAUAAAAAUCACUGAAAUGGUAUAUCAAAUAAAAUAUAUUCUGAGCAAAAUAUGUCAUAAUGAAUUGUCUGUUGUAUUGUAUUUAUAUAAAAGGUUUUAAAAGAAUAAAUCACUAUUUAAUAUGAAAACUA